UCUUUGAUUCUGGCUCAGGAUGAACGCUAGCUACAGGCUUAACACAUGCAAGUCGAGGGGCAGCAUGGAGAUAGCUUGCUAUCUUUGAUGGCGACCGGCGCACGGGUGCGUAACGCGUAUCCAAUCUACCCAUGGCUCAGGGAUAGCCUUUCGAAAGAAAGAUUAAUACCUGAUGGUCUUGUUUUCCGGCAUCGGGAGACAAGUAAAGAUUUAUCGGCGAUGGAUGAGGAUGCGACUGAUUAGAUAGUUGGCGGGGUAACGGCCCACCAAGUCAUCGAUCAGUAGGGGUUCUGAGAGGAAGGUCCCCCACACUGGAACUGAGACACGGUCCAGACUCCUACGGGAGGCAGCAGUGAGGAAUAUUGGUCAAUGGGCGAGAGCCUGAACCAGCCAAGUAGCGUGAAGGAUGACUGCCCUAUGGGUUGUAAACUUCUUUUAUACGGGAAUAAAGGACGCCACGUGUGGUGUUUUGCAUGUACCGUGCGAAUAAGCAUCGGCUAAUUCCGUGCCAGCAGCCGCGGUAAUACGGAAGAUGCGAGCGUUAUCCGGAUUUAUUGGGUUUAAAGGGAGCGUAGGCGGGCUGUUAAGUCAGCGGUCAAAUGUCAGGGCCCAACCUUGGCAUGCCGUUGAAACUGGCGGUCUUGAGUUCACACAAGGAAGGUGGAAUUUGUUGUGUAGCGGUGAAAUGCUUAGAUAUGACGAAGAACUCCGAUUGCGAAGGCAGCCUUCUGGGGUGUUACUGACGCUGAGGCUCGAAAGCGCGGGUAUCAAACAGGAUUAGAUACCCUGGUAGUCCGCGCUGUAAACGAUGAAUGCUGGUCAUUGGCGAUAUACGGUCAGUGACUGAGGGAAACCAUUAAGCAUUCCACCUGGGGAGUACGCCGGCAACGGUGCAACUCAAAGGAAUUGACGGA
rnacentral:rRNA from 1 species